rnacentral:rRNA from 1 species
UACGUAGGAGGCAAGCGUUGUCCGGAAUUACUGGGCGUAAAGCGCGUGUAGGUGGUGGGACAAGUCUGCUGUGAAAGCGCCUGGCUUAACCGGGCGAGGUCGGCGGAAACUGUCCGACUCGAGGACGGUAGAGGGGGGUGGAAUUCCCGGUGUAGUGGUGAAAUGCGUAGAGAUCGGGAGGAACACCUGUGGCGAAGGCGGCCCCCUGGGCCGGCCCUGACACUGAGACGCGAAGGCGUGGGGAGCGAGCGGG